rnacentral:pre_miRNA from 1 species
AAAAAGACAAACCCUGGUUUCCAUGUCACCGUCCGUCUUAUUUAAAAAAAUUAUGAAAAAAAUUAAAAAGAUAAGUCACGCAUAAAGUAUUAAUCAUGUUUUAUUAUCUAACAACAAUGAAAAUAUUAAUUAUAAAAUUUUUUAUAUAAGACGGAUAAUCAAACGUUGGCACGGAAACCUAAGAUUUGCCUUUUU